rnacentral:sRNA from 1 species
CAGGGUGGAGUGCGGGGUGAGGUUA